AGUGAACGCUGGCGGUAGGCCUAACACAUGCAAGUCGAACGGCAGCACAGUAAGAGCUUGCUCUUACGGGUGGCGAGUGGCGGACGGGUGAGGAAUACAUCGGAAUCUACUUUUUCGUGGGGGAUAACGUAGGAAAACUUACGCUAAUACCACAUACGACCUACGGGUGAAAGCAGGGGAUCUUCGGACCUUGCGCGAUUGAAUGAGCCGAUGUCGGAUUAGCUAGUUGGCGGGGUAAAGGCCCACCAAGGCGACGAUCCGUAGCUGGUCUGAGAGGAUGAUCAGCCACACUGGAACUGAGACACGGUCCAGACUCCUACGGGAGGCAGCAGUGGGGAAUAUUGGACAAUGGGCGCAAGCCUGAUCCAGCCAUACCGCGUGGGUGAAGAAGGCCUUCGGGUUGUAAAGCCCUUUUGUUGGGAAAGAAAAGCAGCAGGUUAAUACCCCGCUGUUCUGACGGUACCCAAAGAAUAAGCACCGGCUAACUUCGUG
rnacentral:rRNA from 1 species